rnacentral:rRNA from 1 species
AUUGCACGCUGGCGGCAGGCCUAACACAUGCACGUCGAGCGGAGCGGCGGACGGGUGAGUAAUGCCUAGGAAUCUGCCUGGUAGUGGGUGAUAACGUCCGGAAACGGGCGCUAAUACCGCAUACUAUCAGAUGAGCCUAGGUCGGAUUAGCUAGUUGGUGGGGUAAAGGCCUACCAAGGCGACGCUCCGUAACUGGUCUGAUAGGAUGAUCAGUCCACCUGGAACUGAGAAAAGGUGCAGACUCCUACGGGAGGCAGCAGUGUGGAAUAUUGGACAAUGGGCGAAAGCCUGAUCCAGCCAUGCCGCGUGUGUGAAGAAGGUCUUCGGAUUGUAAAGCACUUGAAGUUGGGAGGCGUUACCAACAGAAUAAGCACCGGCUAACUUCGUGCCAGCCGCCGCGGUAAUAC